rnacentral:rRNA from 2 species
GGAAUAACUUCCGGGAAACCGGGGCUUAAAUACCGGGAUGCUUUGAUUGAACCGCCAUGGUUCAAUUAUAAAAAGGUGGCUUUUAGCUACCACUUACAGAUGGACCCGCGGCGCAUUAGCUAGUUGGUGAGGUAACGGCUCACCAAGGCGACGAUGCGUAGCCGACCUGAGAGGGUGAUCGGCCACACUGGGACUGAGACACGGCCCAGACUCCUACGGGAGGCAGCAGUAGGGAAUCUUCCGCAAUGGACGAAAGUCUGACGGAGCAACGCCGCGUGAGUGAUGAAGGUUUUCGGAUCGUAAAACUCUGUUGUUAGGGAAGAACAAGUACCGUUCGAAUAGGGCGGUACCUUGACGGUACCUAACCAGAAAGCCACGGCUAACUACGUGCCAGCAGCCGCGGUAAUACGUAGGUGGCAAGCGUUGUCCGGAAUUAUUGGGCGUAAAGCGCGCGCAGGCGGUUUCUUAAGUCUGAUGUGAAAGCCCCCGGCUCAACCGGGGAGGGUCAUUGGAAACUGGGGAACUUGAGUGCAGAAGAGGAGAGUGGAAUUCCACGUGUAGCGGUGAAAUGCGUAGAGAUGUGGAGGAACACCAGUGGCGAAGGCGACUCUCUGGUCUGUAACUGACGCUGAGGCGCGAAAGCGUGGGGAGCGAACAGGAUUAGAUACCCUGGUAGUCCACGCCGUAAACGAUGAGUGCUAAGUGUUAGAGGGUUUCCGCCCUUUAGUGCUGCAGCAAACGCAUUAAGCACUCCGCCUGGGGGGUACGGUCGCAAGACUGAAACUCAAAGGAAUUGACGGGGGCCCGCACAAGCGGUGGAGCAUGUGGUUUAAUUCGAAGCAACGCGAAGAACCUUACCAGGUCUUGACAUCCUCUGACAACCCUAGAGAUAGGGCUUCCCCUUCGGGGGCAGAGUGACAGGUGGUGCAUGGUUGUCGUCAGCUCGUGUCGUGAGAUGUUGGGUUAAGUCCCGCAACGAGCGCAACCCUUGAUCUUAGUUGCCAGCAUUCAGUUGGGCACUCUAAGGUGACUGCCGGUGACAAACCGGAGGAAGGUGGGGAUGACGUCAAAUCAUCAUGCCCCUUAUGACCUGGGCUACACACGUGCUACAAUGGGCAGAACAAAGGGCAGCGAAGCCGCGAGGCUAAGCCAAUCCCACAAAUCUGUUCUCAGUUCGGAUCGCAGUCUGCAACUCGACUGCGUGAAGCUGGAAUCGCUAGUAAAUCGCGGAUCAACAUGCCCCGGGGGAAAUACCUUUCCCGGGGCCUUUUAAAAAAGGGCGGUACAACCCCAAAAUUUUUGAAACCCCCCAAAGCGGGGGGGGGAAACCUUUUUGGAACCCCCCCCCCCAAAGGGGGGAAAAAAAUUUUGGGGGGAAAAUUCAAAAAAGGGACACACAAAAGG